GUACCUGAUGGCCCGUACAAGAGAUAGCUCCGCUUCCAAACACGACCCAGCCGGUUAUAGUAUUGUUUGGCCUUGAGGAAAGUCUCUAGAUCUGAUUUUAAUUUAUUUUUGAGAUCAGAUUCCAUUGCAAUUGUUUCAAACGUUGAAGGAUGAGUGAAGGGUACAAAUCUCCACCGUCGGCUCUGAUUUCGAUCACUGUCGAUGUUCAUAUAAAGCUUCAAUUGUCUCUUCUUCUUUUGCUCAAGCUCAUCGAAAACUGUGUGGAUGUGCUGGAGAUAAGGCCGGAGAAUUCUUCG
rnacentral:misc_RNA from 1 species